GAACAAUUCAUAUAAACAAGAAAUUUAAAUUUUUGCUAUGGUGGAGAGGAUUCAUCGCUUGGUACGCGCUUGUUAUAAUCUUUUACUCCAAUAACAGCUCUCAAGAGACCCUCAGAAACUCUACAACCUCGAGAAAAUUAAUCUCACAA